rnacentral:RNase_P_RNA from 1 species
AUAGGUACACAGGUGAUAGCUUGAGCAUUACGUUCAAGAGGAAAGUCCGGGCUGCUGUAGGACACGGUUCCAUUUAACUGAUGGCCAUGGUAACAUGAGGGACAGUGCAACAGAGAGUAGACCGCCACAUAUAUGAAGCGCUGAGCGUUUUGUGCUUUAGUGCCAUAGCGGCUAGCGUAGUGUUUGGGGACUUUGUUCCCGAAUACGUUUUCAAUAAAUGUAUGGGGUGAGGGUGAAACGGCGGGGUAAGAGCCCACCAGUCUCAUAGGCAACUAUGAGAGCUAUGUAAACCCAACCGCGCAGCAAGAAACAGAUGGUUAGCGUCCUACAUCGCUAUUGUUUCGCUAGAGGCUCUGAGUGAUCAGAGCAGUAGAUUAAUUAUCACUUUAUCCAGAACCCGGCUUAUGUGUACCUACUCAC